AGAAAGAGGAGGCCACAGAGUAUAACUCGUGCUGUGUGUAAAGCUAAACUGGUGAUUGUAAGACAUGAGGAAACAGGUUGGUGGUUUGUGAUGGAUUUCAUCGAUGGGCAAAACCAUCCUCUAGCCCCACGGGAUCUUUCAUGUCUUUUGCAUUCACACAGAAGAAUUAGUGAUGAGCAGAAAGCGAACAUUGCAGACAUGGCAAAAUGUGGGAUCCGCAAACACCAUAUUAUGGAUAUUUUGUGCAUGCAAUACGGUGGAUAAGAUUAGGUUGGAGUUGGAUGCACGAGGAGGGACAUUUACAAUUUCUUCCAUGCUAGUAAGCAGGAACCGAUCGCAGACGGUGAUGCUCAAACAUUGAUCAGUCACAUGAUGGUGCAGCGACAGCGAGAUCCAGAUUUUUUCUUCAAGUACUUGGUUGAUGAACUUGGCCAUUUGAAGGGACUGUUCUGGUCUGAUAGUCAACCCCGACUUGACUAUGAGGCUUUCGGAGACAUUAUUGUUUUUGAUAGCACAUACAGAACCAAUAAGUAUAAUAUGCCAUUUGCGCCGUUUGUCGGGUUGAAUCACCACCGCAACACUAUUAUUUUUGGAUGUGGUAUCAGUUCUUAUGAAAUAAGCCAGGCAUACGAGUGGAUGUUGCGGACCUUUUCUGAUGCCAUGGGACAUAAGCAUCCGAUAUCCGUGAGCAUAGACGGGGACCUUGCUAUGCAAAGAGCAAUCAUGGUGGUCUGGCCUGACUCAAACCAUAGGCAGUGUAUAUGGCACAUUCAGCAGAACAUUGUACGUCAUCUGCAUGAUGACGCGGUAAAGGAGGAAUUCAGAUCUUUCAUAUAUGACUCAUCUUCCAUUAAAGAGCAUGAGAGAAAACGGAUACAAUUCUUACAACGGAAUAAGGUAACGAGUGAGGAGUCCUGAUUGCAUCAGAUGUGUCAGAUGAGAAAGUUGUGGUGUGUUCCAUAUCUUGAGGGGCGUUGUUUCCUAGGUUUGAGCAGUAAUCAGCGGAGUGAGAGCUUGAAGAGUGUGCUACAUACUCAUCUUGAGGGUAAGAUGACGUUGUUUCAAAUGCUAGAGCACUAUGAGCACUGCCUUGCAUCACCGCGCUUGAAUGAGGCUCUCCGAGACAUCGAGGCCUUGAAAUCAGUUCCAUUUACAGAGGAAAAUACUUCAAUUCUUGAGAAACACGCCACAAAAGUUCUCACUCCUACUGUGUUUGAGUUGGUAUUAUGGAGCAUAAAUGUUGUCAACAAAUGUGUGAUUAGAGAGGUACUAGAUGCAUGAGAUGUUACCACCUAUGUUGUUUCUAAGAAGGAAAGAAUGGAUAAAAAUUUCGAAGUGCGCAGUGAGGAGCAGGAAGGUCUUUUGCAAAGGAUUAGUUGUUCUUGCCGUAAGGUGGAGUGCGUAGGCAGACCAUGUUCCCACAUAUUUUACAUAUUGGGUAUUUUACAAGAAGAAAGACUGUCCAGGUGUGUUCCCACUAGGUGGACAAUGAGUUCAAAAUCUACAUACGCACCGACCAGAAAGAGUGAGAUGUAUGACUAUUCGGCAAGCCUGCAGAGGUACCGUCAGUUGCGGAAUUUUAGUCACGUGGAAUGUUUCAAGGCAUGCCACUCUGAUGAGGCGUAUCAACAUCUAAAGAUGGUUUCGGAUACACAAGAUGAAAGCAAGGACUCAACUAUUGAACAAGGUGUCAGCAAGGAAUCAAUUAAUGCUCAGAGUAACAGCAUUAGGUUUGGCCUGUUGAUGCUGCAAUCAAUGAACCUUGACGGUGAAGGUUUGGAUAAGGUUCUGGAUCCCCUGCAUGUGCUAGGCCGAGGUGCAUCGAAUAAAAUGCUACAAGCAAAGAUGAAGAAGACAAGAUUAGAGGGUAAAUGUGGCUAUUGUAAGGGGCUACGUCACAAUAGACGUACAUGCACCAAUUGUUAG
rnacentral:rRNA from 1 species